rnacentral:rRNA from 1 species
GAUGAACGCUGGCGGCGUGCUUAACACAUGCAAGUCGAACGGUGAAGGCGGAGCUUGCUCUGCUGGAUCAGUGGCGAACGGGUGAGUAACACGUGAGCAAUCUGCCCCUGACUCUGGGAUAAGCGCUGGAAACGGCGUCUAAUACUGGAUACGAACUGCGAAGGCAUCUUCAGCAGCUGGAAAGAAUUUCGGUCAGGGAUGAGCUCGCGGCCUAUCAGCUUGUUGGUGAGGUAAUGGCUCACCAAGGCGUCGACGGGUAGCCGGCCUGAGAGGGUGACCGGCCACACUGGGACUGAGACACGGCCCAGACUCCUACGGGAGGCAGCAGUGGGGAAUAUUGCACAAUGGGCGAAAGCCUGAUGCAGCAACGCCGCGUGAGGGACGACGGCCUUCGGGUUGUAAACCUCUUUUAGCAGGGAAGAAGCGAAAGUGACGGUACCUGCAGAAAAAGCGCCGGCUAACUACGUG